CGUUGUCGUUUAAAGAAAAUACUGGUUGGAAACGAUCAAUACUAACAAGGUCCUUCUAACCUCGGAGAGAGGGAUGGACGAUGUUCUAACUUUAGAAAAACAAAUUUAGAAUUUAACAAAUUCUUAUGUACAAAAGGUUUAGAAGUAGAAUGAAGUUGGUACAAGCUUUAAAUUUGAAAAUGUUUCUCGCAAACUGGAUAAAAGAGGUUCUGUGUCAACAGAAUGAUGUAAAUUUAUAAAAAAGUCUCCAGGAAGACAAAGUGGUUGCCCAUAUACCAACUCAGCGGGAGAACAACCCAGAUCUUCUUUUAAAGAGGAUCUGUGUCCCAACAGGAUUAUUGGUGGUUCGUGAUUCCACCUAUCGACAUUUCCUCUGGCUGUUAUGACGGUUUUGAGAGUCCUGUAGAAUCUCUCCAAAAUGCCGUUGCUUUGAGGGUGGUAGGCGGAAGUAUGAAUCUGACGUGAUCCAAGGAGCUUGUUAAAUUGUGAAAAGAGCCGAGAUUCAGAGUGUGGUAUGCCGAAUCUGGAAAAAUAUUCACGGAGAAGAGUGUUUGCUACCGAAGAAGAUGAAAUAUCAUUUAUAGGAUAAGCUUCAGGCUAACGUGUAAAACAGUCGAUUAUUGUGAGGACGUAAGAACAUCCUAAAGAAGAUACUAAAAGUCCAACUAAAUCUAUAUGGAUAUGCUCAAAUCGUCCUUUGGGAAUGGAUAUUUUCUCAACGCGGGAUUUGGUAUGUUGAUGGAUCUUUGUUUUCUAACACUGGAGACAUGUUCUUGUCCAAAAUUGUCUGUCCUUUGACAUAUGAGGCCAAAAGAAGCGAGAUUUAACAUUAUGUAAUGUAGAACGAAAACCUGAAUGAAUUGAAGAAUGAAAUUUAUUAAAAAUUA